CCCACCGCCCUCCUAUGGCCCGGCCGCGCCGCGCCCACCGGGGGUGGACGAGGGAGCACGGGGGGCCGGGCCCCCCGGGGCGCGACGGGCCAAGGAACCGAGCUCCGCCGGGUCGGGCCGCACCGGGGUUCGGUCUCUGGAAUACUCUCCAAAUACUCCAAGGCACGGACCUCAAAAAGACCUGAAGAAGAAGAAUAUCACUCAACCACUCCCAUUUCUUAGUAUGUGGUAUCUCAAAUCAUUAAUGAGGUUAUGAAAAAAAAAUUUGUGCCUGUAAUACCAGCUGCAGGAUCAAGCCUAAAGAGGAGACAGAUACACAGAAAUUCUUUGCUUAAGAAGAUGCAUUCCACUGAGUCACUAGAAGGCACGAAGCUAUUGCCAUUGCAUUUAUGCCGUAUCUGCAUUACAUUUGUUAAGGUGCCAACAGGGUAACCUGUCAGGACAAAAGGCUCCUUAAGAGUCAAAAUGAUGUACCAUUAUACUCUGAAAGUCACUUUGUAAAACAAGAAAUUAAUAUUAAACCUUACCUUUGACCAUGCUCUUA